AAGAGGAAGACCACGAACUCACAAGUGCUUUGUACCUCUGAGUAGGUUUAAUGAAAGCUGCUCAUUUAUAUAACUUUACUUCAGUAAGGUGUUGGGGGUUUUGUUCUUUGUACUAAAUUUGUCAGCUGGUUUGCUCUUUGAACAUCAGAUCCUAGUGACAUAGAAACACUAGAAGAAGAGCAGAAGAAACUUUCAGCUGGUAUAAAAUGAAGUAGUGAACUGUUGUCUGCUCCAUACUGUGUGGACUGGAUAGAUGACAGGUUCCCCAGAACAAGUGUGCAGGAUAUGACUGGAUACACAAGCAACUUGAUGUGGUUUGGCCUAUUAGUACAGGAACUCAUUCCCUGGGCACUGCAAACCCCUGACGAGCAACUAUCAAGCCCAUCACACUCUAAGAUAAGAAAGUACACAUCUGAUAUCUCCCAGAUGCAGACAGUCUGGUAAAUAUUCAGAGAGUGUCCUUUGAUUCUCAUGCUGGACU
rnacentral:lncRNA from 14 species